AUGAACGCUGGCGGCGUGCCUAAUACAUGCAAGUCGCACGCUUCACUUCGGUGAAGAGUGGCGAACGGGUGAGUAAUACAUAAGUAACCUGGCAUCUACAGGGGGAUAACUGAUGGAAACGUCAGCUAAGACCGCAUAGGUGUAGAGAUCGCAUGAACUCUAUAUGAAAAGUGCUACGGGACUGGUAGAUGAUGGACUUAUGGCGCAUUAGCUUGUUGGUAGGGUAACGGCCUACCAAGGCGACGAUGCGUAGCCGACCUGAGAGGGUGACCGGCCACACUGGGACUGAGACACGGCCCAGACUCCUACGGGAGGCAGCAGUAGGGAAUUUUCGGCAAUGGGGGAAACCCUGACCGAGCAACGCCGCGUGAAGGAAGAAGUAAUUCGUUAUGUAAACUUCUGUCAUAGAGGAAGAACGGUGGAUAUAGGGAAUGAUAUCCAACUGACGGUACUCUAUAAGAAAGCCACGGCUAACUACGUG
rnacentral:rRNA from 1 species